AAAGAAACGAGUGGGCUUUUUGAGACCUGUGGCUGCAGCAGCUGAAGGCAGGCCAUUACCUUGAAGAGAAAGGCGGGGAAGGUAAGAUGGCAGGGGGAAUCAUGGGGAGCCUUGCUGGCCCAGGCCUCCUCCCUGGGAAAGCUCCAACUUGCCCAGAAUGAGGCUGCAGAAGCUGGUGGGCUCUCUGCCGUCUGUGUUAGGGAAGAAAAGUUGCUGACAGUUGUCACCAGAGCAGCCAGGUGUUUCCCAAACUCCAGACCCCGACCUCAGCAGGUUUUGCUGCCCAAACACCCCCAGGGACCAACGUACACCUGCCCGCAUCAGCAAAGUCCCCUUCCCCUCCACCGCAGGCUCCCUGGGGGCCAAUGGACACAGAAGUUGAGAGAUCUACUGACCGUCUGCGUCAAAGUGCUUCCAGAUUUCCAGGAACUGGGACGCCGUCAGCUCGGCCAGGUGCAGCCCCAACCCACCAGCUGUGCCCCGAGUACUGCAACCUAAUGCCAAGGAUUGGCAAGAAGACCUGCCUGACUUGCCCUGUACUCAGACCCCAGAAUCACUUUCCGAAGGGAGAGAGGCCUGCUGACUGAGAGGUGCUGAGAUGCUGGGGAACAGAUGACAGACUCGCAGCCAGCACCCACUGGGCCCAGGGUUUGGAAUAUAAGAAGAAACAGCAAAAGGAGAACCUUGCAAGGAGAGUCUGAAUUUAGCACCCCAUCUUCCAGAAAAGAACAGACAUUGUUCAGGAGCAACUAACAUCUAUCAGAUGUCGGCUGAGUGUGAGAGCCUGUGCUAAGUGUUUUACAUUAGUUUGGUAAUCCUCACUGUGACCCUUGCAGGUGUUGCUUGCCCAAGGCUGUGUAGCCAGUGGGUGGAUAUUCUACCCCAGGUACUCCAAAGUCAGAGCUGUUGUGCCUAACGGUUCAAGAUGAGAAACCAUAUUGAUCCUAAGGAGGGACAGUGCUAGGUGAGCUGUUAACAGUAAAGAGUCCCCCAGGGCUAGUGCUUUAACAACUUUUGGUAUUGAUUCCACUUCUGAAUUAAGUAUCAUAAUCGUUGUUAAUGAACAAUAAUAAAGCAGGUACUUAAGAAUCCACAGGGUUGAAUGUUACUUUAGUUUUCUUCUCUUUUAAAUAUUUAUUUUUGAGAGAGAGAGAGAGAGAGAGGAAGACAGAGCACAAGGGGGGGAGGGGCAGAGAGAGAGGGAGACACAGAAUCCGAAGCAGGCUCCAGGCUCUGAGCUGUCAGCACAGAGCCCGACACAGGGCUCAAACUCGUGAACUACGAGAUCAUGACCUGAGCUGAAGUUUGAUGCCUUACAGACUGAGCCGCCUAGGCACCCCUGAACGUUCCUUUAGUUUUCUUACCUGAACUUCAGCCACCCGUUGAUUUCCAACUCCCUCCUGGAUAUUUCUGCUUGACUAGUCCACUAUCAUCCCUAACUCUAUUUAAACCAAACUUACUCAUUUUUUUCCCUCUUAACCAUUUCCUAUAGCAGCAGAUUCUGGCACCUUAGUCUGGCUUCCAUGGUCCUCUAUAUUCUGGCUCUUCACUACUUGCUAUGGACUGAAUUGUGUCCCCACAAAAUUCAUAUGUUAAAACUCUAGCCCCCAGUGUGAUGGUAUUUGGAGAUGCAGCCUUUGCCAUUGGGAGGUAAUUAGGUUUAGAUGAGCUCAUGAGGGUGGGGUCCUCGUGAUAGGGUUAGUGUCCUCCUUAUAAGAAGAGACCAGAGUGCUUGCUCUCUCUUCCUGCCAUGUGGGCACACAGUGAGAAAGUGGCUAUCUACAAUCCAGGAAGAGAGUCCUCAACAGGAACCAAAUCAUCCAGCACUUUAAUCUUGGACUUCCCAGCUUCUAGAGCUGGGGGAAAUAAGUUUCUGUUCUUUUUUUUUUUUUUUUUUUUUUAAGUUUUUGUUCUUUAAGUCACCCUGUCUAAUAGUAUUUUCUUAUAGCAGCCUGACCUGAGAUACUACCUAUAUAGCAUUUCAGUCUUAACUUUCCAUCCCUUUUGUCCAUUUUCCCUUCUUCUUGUCUGUCUUCUCACGCCCAUUAUUUUUCCUAAGUUUGACUGGCAUUCCCUGUACCCAAAUAACAGCAACCUUUUAACACAAAAAUUAGAGUCUCUUUCCCCCAUCUUUUCCCUGCUAUGUCUCCCAUCUUCAGACUUCCACAACCCUUAAUCUGUACCGUACAAUAGAGCACUUAGUCAUAUAGUGUUAUUUAUUUUUAAACAUCUUGUGUCUGCAAUGAAAUGAUUAAGACUUCGAGGGUAG